rnacentral:tRNA from 1 species
GCUCUGGUGGCCCAAUGGACAUGGCAUUAGAGUCUCAAGCCAGAGAGCAUGGGUUCAACUCCCACCUGGAGUG